rnacentral:rRNA from 1 species
CAACAACGGAUCUCUUGGCUCUGGCAUCGAUGAAGAACGCAGCGAAAUGCGAUAAGUAAUGUGAAUUGCAGAAUUCAGUGAAUCAUCGAAUCUUUGAACGCACAUUGCGCCCGUCAGUAUUCUGGCGGGCAUGCCUGUCCGAGCGUCAUUU